UACGGGGGGAGCAAGCGUUGUCCGGAUUUAUUGGGCGUAAAGAGCGUGUAGGCGGCUAGGUAGGUCCGUUGUGAAAACUCGAGGCUCAACCUCGAGACGUCGAUGGAAACCAUCUGGCUAGAGUCCGGAAGAGGAGAGUGGAAUUCCUGGUGUAGCGGUGAAAUGCGCAGAUAUCAGGAAGAACACCCGUGGCGAAGGCGGCUCUCUGGUACGUGACUGACGCUGAGACGCGAAAGCGUGGGGAGCGAACAGG
rnacentral:rRNA from 1 species